UACGAAGGGGGCUAGCGUUGCUCGGAAUCACUGGGCGUAAAGGGUGCGUAGGCGGGUCUUUAAGUCAGGGGUGAAAUCCUGGAGCUCAACUCCAGAACUGCCUUUGAUACUGAAAGUCUUGAGUAUGGGAGAGGUGAGUGGAACUGCGAGUGUAGAGGUGAAAUUCGUAGAUAUUCGCAAGAACACCAGUGGCGAAGGCGGCUCACUGGCCCAUAACUGACGCUGAGGCACGAAAGCGUGGGGAGCAAACAGGG
rnacentral:rRNA from 1 species